rnacentral:rRNA from 1 species
GAUGAACGCUAGCGACAGGCUUAACACAUGCAAGUCGAGGGGCAGCACGGGAGUAGCAAUACAACUGGUGGCGACCGGCGCACGGGUGAGUAACGCGUAUGCAACCUACCUAUCAGAGGGGAAUAACCCGGCGAAAGUCGGACUAAUACCGCAUAAAACAGGGGCACCGCAUGGUGAUAUUUGUUAAAGAAAUUCGCUGAUAGAUGGGCAUGCGUUCCAUUAGGUAGUUGGUGAGGUAACGGCUCACCAAGCCGACGAUGGAUAGGGGAACUGAGAGGUUGGUCCCCCACACUGGUACUGAGACACGGACCAGACUCCUACGGGAGGCAGCAGUGAGGAAUAUUGGUCAAUGGGCGGGAGCCUGAACCAGCCAAGUCGCGUGAAGGAAGAAGGAUCUAUGGUUCGUAAACUUCUUUUGCAGGGGAAUAAAGUGCAGGACGUGUCCUGUUUUGUAUGUACCCUGAGAAUAAGGAUCGGCUAACUCCGUGCCAGCAGCCGCGGUAAUAC